rnacentral:rRNA from 1 species
CAGUCGUACCUGCGGAUAAUCAGCUUUUUGAGUGUGAUUAUGUGGUUUAUGAGGAGUUUAACCGCCUUCAUGUAUUGCAUAUUUGUGCUCCUGGGUGUACUUGCCCGUGUGGUAGGUUAACAUCAAUUUUGGUCGUCAUAAAAUGACUGGAGGAAUGUAGCUUUGGUCUCGUAUCGAAGUUGUUAUAGACUCUGGUAGAUGUGACGUAUUGGGGAUUGAGGGUAUUGCAACGGAUACCCC